rnacentral:rRNA from 1 species
UACGUAGGGUGCGAGCGUUGUCCGGAAUUAUUGGGCGUAAAGAGCUCGUAGGCGGCUUGUCACGUCGGAUGUGAAAGCCCGGGGCUUAACCCCGGGUCUGCAUUCGAUACGGGCAGGCUAGAGUUCGGUAGGGGAGAUCGGAAUUCCUGGUGUAGCGGUGAAAUGCGCAGAUAUCAGGAGGAACACCGGUGGCGAAGGCGGAUCUCUGGGCCGAUACUGACGCUGAGGAGCGAAAGCGUGGGGAGCGAACAGGAUUAGAAACCCCAGUAGUCC